UACGUAGGGGGCUAGCGUUGUCCGGAAUUACUGGGCGUAAAGGGCGCGUAGGCGGCCUGCUAAGUCGGAUGUGAAAUCCCUCGGCUCAACCGAGGAACUGCAUCCGAUACUGGCGGGCUUGAAUCCGGGAGAGGGAUGUGGAAUUCCAGGUGUAGCGGUGAAAUGCGUAGAUAUCUGGAGGAACACCGGUGGCGAAGGCGGCAUCCUGGACCGGUAUUGACGCUGAGGCGCGAAAGCUAGGGGAGCAAACGGG
rnacentral:rRNA from 1 species